GCAUUGGUCGUUCAGUGAUAGAAUUCUCACCUGCCAAGCUGGAGGCCUGGGUUCGAUUCCCAGCCAAUGCA